rnacentral:misc_RNA from 1 species
UUAAGUUCAGCGGGUAGUCCUGCCUGAUUUGAGGUCAGAGGUUCAAGUGUUUGCUACAAGAGCAAGACGUGUUGGAAGCGGUUCAAACACCCUUACUGUGGCCGCCUGCCUAGAAGGCUAGGCGUCCUCGACGAUGACGAUAAUAACUUAUUACGCCGAGUAGAACCAGGUCAGAAUGGAUCCAGCUAAUUAUUUUAAAG